rnacentral:lncRNA from 1 species
CUUAAGGCCGCCAAGACCCGUAGCAAGCCUGACAUACAACCUGAAAAUCUAUUUAAUCCCAUACAUGAUCAACAACAUACAUAAAAAUUUAAAACUUUUCUUUCACUCAUAAGCCAAACUCAACCUGCGCAUGCACUGAACAUACUCAUAAUCAUAAUCAUGACCCCUCUGUGGGAUCUCAUCAAUGCCCCAAUGGGCGAUACAUCAUAAGAUGAGUUGGCUUACAUGAACAUCAUAAAAAGAUCUAAGAUCAUGUUUUAAAAGGGAUACCUCAUACAUAAAGUCAAGCACAAUCUCUAAUCCUCAAUAUCAUUACAUGACUGAAACUGUACUUUUACAUAAUAUCAAUACAUUUAUCAUGUCCACACUAUCUAUUACAUAUACCAGACUUCAUUACUCUUGUAAACCUCCCGGUCUACUCUGUACCUGCAAUCCUGGGGAAAUUUGGAAGAGGGGUGAGCUACUAGAGCCCAGUGAGCAGAAUAAUAAAACAUUUAAAACAUAGGAUAACAUGGAAUGCAUCACAUCAUAGCUAAACACAUCAAGGAUGAACCUGUCACCAAUAGCCCUCUACAUGGUCCAACUGUGCCAGAACGUAGAAUGGGUCCUGGUCUUUCCCUUACAUAUCAUAACAUAACAGUGUCCAACUGUGCCAGAACGUAGAAUGGGUCCUGGUCUUUCCCUUACAUAGUGCCAGCGAACGUAGAAUGGGUCCCACUGGUCUUACAUUCCGUACUGUACAUAUCACAUCGUCAUAUCAUAGAUCGAGGGCUAUGGAUCAUCCAACAUUCAUCCACAUCAACAUUAAAAUGUGCAAUGCAACAUAUUCGUGGAUUCUAAUGCAAACAACCUAAAACAUCACAUGGCAUUCAUGAUGCAUGAACAUGCUCAAAACUAUACGAUUAAUUUGCUUAAAAACAUAAAGGUUUAUUCCACUCACCUCUGGAUAGCUCUGUCCAAACACUGGGGCAACAGACUCACUGCUGGGGUUCUCGGUUCCUC